rnacentral:pre_miRNA from 1 species
AAAAAGACAAACUCUAGGUUUCCAUGUCCAACGUUUGAUUGUCCGUCUUAUAUGAAAUUUUUUUAUAAUUAGUAUUUUCAUUGUUGUUAGAUGAUAAAAUAUGAUUAAUACUUUAUGCGUGACUUGUCUUUUUAAUUUUUUUCAUAAUUUUUUCAAAUAAGACGGACGGUCAAAUGUUGGACAUA